GGCUGCCUGGCCCAAUGGUCAAGGCGCCUGCCUACGAUGCCGGAACACCGGGUUGCGAGCAGGAGAUUCCAGGUUCGAGUCCUGGGGUGGUCG
rnacentral:tRNA from 1 species